rnacentral:rRNA from 1 species
UACGUAGGGUGCGAGCGUUAAUCGGAAUUACUGGGCGUAAAGCGUGCGCAGGCGGUUUUGUAAGCCAGAUGUGAAAUCCCCGGGCUUAACCUGGGAAUGGCAUUUGGGACUGCAAGGCUCGAGUGCGGCAGAGGAGACUGGAAUUUACGGUGUAGCGGUGAAAUGCGUAGAUAUCGUAAGGAAGACCAGUGGCGAAGGCGGGUCUCUGGACAGUUCCUGACGCUGAGGCACGAAGGUCAGGGGGAGCAAACGGG